rnacentral:lncRNA from 1 species
GUCUCCUUCUCCAGCCUCCCUCCCCAAGUUUGCUAAGGGUGCUUAUUUUAACCCGGUUUUGGUUACAAACACCCCCUCCCUCCCUCGCUCGCUCUCUCCCGUCAGGCUCUGGUUACCAGAUCCGCGUUUACUUUCGAAAAAUCUAAGAUCGCCACAUCCGAGGACACAUGUCUUAAGGAGGCGAUGAGCUUUCCGGGUUUUUUUGUAAAAAAUGUUCUUUAUGUAGUUUUCUUUUAAAAGCCAGCGUUUCGGAGCAAGCCCCGGCGCCCCACUUUGGAGAAGUCGGGGUGAAGCCCCCCGGAACACCCUCGCUCUGGCAGAGAAGCUGGCUCUGGCUCGGCCAUCUGCGGGCUCCGCCGCGUCCUCCCUACUUUUCUCCCCCUCUUAAAUGCAGUUAAAAUGGCUGAAUUCCGGCUUUUAAUUAAAAACAGCCUAUAAUCGAAAACGUCUCGGCGUCCCUGGCUCCCCCGCCGCCUGCCGGGAACCGAGAAGGGAACCGACGCCCCUCGGCCCGGCUGGGAGGGCUGGAGCGGGGCUGGGAACUCAGGUGGGCGCCCGGGGCGCAGUGGCCUGCCCCCACCCCUCCCGGGGCGCCCCCAUCUCGCCGGCCCCGGUCCCCGAUUCCGUUCUCGGCGGCCGGGAAACUGCGGGGAUGCCCCGGCGCCCCCGGAGGGGGAGGCGGGAUCGGGGACGAGCUGGAGAAGUUUGGAGACCAUCGCGCCCGGCCAGGGAUGGGAGGGCGGCCCGGCGGCGUACCUGGCGCGGCGGGGCUCCCGGCUCCGGGCUCCGGCGACGGCGACUCCGGUGGCGGCCCCGGCUCCCGGCGCGGUUAGGCGCCCGUGCUGCCCGCCAUCCCGCGGCCGCUGCUCCCCUUCGCCACCCGCAGCCGCCUCACACUUUUUGCCCGCCUUUCCUUUUUUUGGUAGAAAACCGCUCCCCGGGCCGAGCGCUCGGCGCGCCAACUCCUCCGCCCUCCCGCGGCCGGGCUCCCGCAGCCCCCGGAAAAGCCAGCUUUCCUCCCGCCGAGCUCCCCGCUUUUUAAUAAAAUCCAGGUAGCGCCGGUUUAAAGAAUCCCAAAUCUCCAUAUACAGCCCGGGAUUGGAAAAGGUACAUUACACACACCCCCCUUUCAAGUUCCUCUCGCUGGAUCUAAAAAAAAAAAAAAAAAAGCCAGCGGGGGGGGGAGGGGGCGGCUGGGGGAGGGGAGUACUCUCCGGCGAUGAAACACGCAUUGUUCCCGGGCGCCCGCCUCCCCCCGGGCCGGCCCCCGGCCCCCGCCCAUUGGCCGCGCGCGCCGCCAAUCACGCGCAUGUAAACACCUUGGCCCUCAGCCAUUCCUAUAAAACCAAUUACGGACCAAGGGGCUCCAGCAGUUUCCAGGCUCCCCUCGGCGGGGCUGAAUGAUCAAAACUGGUGGUGAGAAUUUUUCCGGGCCGUUUCUAGGCAGCCCUCCCCCUCCACCAACUCGGACCCCCCCCCCCUUCCUCCUUCUCCUCCCUUUUCCUCCCCUCCUCCCCCAGCGUCUGGGCUGAGUGAUCAAAAUAGAGGAAGAUGGUUGUCGCCGCAAUCCAGGGCUUUGCAAGGCGCGGUUUAAUGGGCCGCCUGUCAGCUUCCUGCUCGCAGGAGGAGGUGACAAGCCAAGCGGGCCGGGAAGGGCCUGGGGCCCGGCGGGCUGCACCCCACGCCCGGGCCCCGGCCCCCCACCUCCCCUGGGGCGCGCCUCCUAGAACGCGCGGUGGAGACGCGAAAACAGACAAGGGCUGCUUUUUCCCUUUCUCCCCCCCCCCCCCUUUUAAAACAAAGCAGCGAUUCAUUCCCGCUUCCCGAGCAGCGCGGUUGGGUGGGACGGGCAGGCGAGAAGGCCGUUUUCCUAGUCCCGGCCUGCGGGUCCCUCCCUGAAACGCGGUGUCAGAUGGUUACUGAUUAAUAUUUUGGAGAGGCCGCGGCGGCGGGCAGCGGGUGAGUCUCUAAUCUUCUAAAAACGGUUCCUAUAGAAACGCGGGCCGGGGCGCGCCCCCAGCUCGGCCCCGGCCCGGGGCUGCGGCGCUUUGCACGGCGCGCCCCUCCCCAAAGCUCUCUUUGCGUGGGCGCUCCCCUCCCCUUCUCCCCCCCCCGCCCCAAAAAAAUCAGAGCAGAAAAAAAGGAUUAGAUCGGCUGAGCGCGAACUGACUCCCUCUCGAUUCUGACAUUUCAGCCUAUUAGCAUUUCUCCACGGGGCCUUCUGAAACCUAUUAAAGUGUAAUAUUAAAAACCUCUUGGCUGGGGGCCUCUCUCGCCUUCCAUCCGCCGCGCCCCCUCCAGGGAGGGCGAGACCGGGAAAAAAAAAAAAAAAAAAAAUCUGUUGAGCUCAGAGGCAGCAGCAGCCAAGCCCAAAAACUGCUUGGCUGGCCGCGGCGGCCGGAGGGGGAGGGGAGCCCCAAUCCCCCAGACUUUGUACUUUUAUUUUGCGCUUUCAGCAAAAUCCUUUCUGGGUUGAGUCGCCGGGAGCUGCCCGCGGCAACCUUCUUGGCUGCGGGCGCGAGGAGUGCGGAUGCGGUCAGAGGGACCGCCCUGGGGGCCCCGCACCCCUCUCUCUGCAGCCCCGCAGGGCCCCGUGCCCGGCUAGGCAUUACGUACCCUCAAAAGGAAGCUUGGCGGGGCAGAAAUCCUUGCCGAUCCUGCCUCGGAGAGCAACCGCGGUGAUUAGGUUUUAAUUAAAACAAGAGAAGCCCGCUCUUUCGCCCCACGAUGCGGACUCAGCGUUUUCGCAUCGCUCGUUCUAUUUUGUUUUUUUUUUUUAAUCCAUUUUUAAGGCAACUUUUCUGGAGGGGGAAAAAAAUGAGCUAGUUAGCGCCCAUUCGUUCUAUUUUUCCUUCCUCCACUUUUAGAAAAAGGGGGGUAGGCUUCCAGAGUGAACUGGGGGUGUCUAAUUUAAUUCCAGUAUAAAUUUGAGGGGGGAAAAAAAGUUCAGCCUCUUGAGGGCAGUUUCAAGUUGCCCUUCCUGGAGCCGCCUGCGCAGGUUUCUAGGCGGCCCUCUUUUGGAAGCUGGAGCUCCGCGGGGGGAGGAGGGAAGAGUGAGAUGGAAAGAAAGGAACGAAAAUAGCCGGAGCCGAGGGGAACGAGCGGCGGUGUCCGCGGUUGGAGCAGGGCGCGCAGGUCUCAGUGGCGGCCGGGGCGGCGGGAGGCUCCCGGUGCAGCCCCGGGACGGCCGGGAGCAAAGACGGAGAGGAGAGGGGGGUUAGAGAAAGGAGCACAGGAAUUAUUCAAGGCUGGUUUCGGUUCUCUUCUGGCGACGACCGCAUCUUCGUACUCAAGGCACAGAUUACGGGUCAGCUCAAUUCGCCAGCGGCCGGAGGCUGCCUCCAAGCACCGAGCAGGACGGGAGGGAUGCUCUGCAAGCCGCGUCCGGCUGGAGGCGGCGGAGGCCUGAACGGGUCAUGGUCCCCGAAGUCACUAGGGACAGGGGACGUGGAUGGAAUAUAAGAGGGGAGAUCGACAGUCAAUCCCACCUCUGUCCCUUUCCGCCUGUGACCCCGGUCAGCUCAGUCUUCUCAUCUGUGACAUGGGCGUUGACACGAGUGUUCAGCAUGGGAACCCACCCCCGUCGUCUUCCACUGGUGCUGUCACCCGCGGCCUGGCUGAGCCGGGCACAGUGGGAGCCUCUGCAGGGCCCAGGGAAGGGGCAUGGCGGUGCCGAAGGACACGAGAAAUGGAAAGAGAGGGUUCAGCCACUCUGGCCUCCCAGGGGCGGCGAUGUGAGAACACGGCCCCAAGAUCCUUUGACGCUCCUCCUGUGGAAAGGUGGGGUUCCCGUUCCCUCCCCUUGAUGCUGGCCUCCAUGGCAGAAGGUGACGGAGUCGACAGUCCUCCCAGAACUGCCAGCUCCUGCUUUUUGCCUCUUGGGUGCUCCCUCUUGGAACCCAGCCGCCAUGCUGCGAGGAAGCCCAGAGGUCCCGAGGACAGGCCCGCGUGGAAGGCCCGGUUGUGCGUGUGUGUGUGUGUGUGUGAGCUCCUCAGAAAAGGGCAUCCAGCCCCAGUAGGUGCCCCAGCAGACGCCACGUGGAGCGGGGGUGAGCUGACCCUGCCAAGAUCGGCCCAAAUUGCAGAUUCACAAGCAAAUAAAUAAUUGUCGUCAUUGUGAGCCAGGAGCAUUGGGGUGGUGUGUUACACGGCAAUAGGUGACUAAAACGCAAGGUUCAGCUGAAAAGAGUUUCUGAGAACAUGCUUCAGGGACCUCCCAUGGGAGGUCCAGCAGUCACACGCACGUCCCAAACCUGCCCCCAUGAGCACCACUGCAGUGGUAGCUGGUACAUUUUCUUUUCUUUUUUUUAAAGUUAAUUUAAUUGCUUUUUUCUUUUGAAGAAGAAGAUUAGCCCUGAGCUAACAUCUGCUGCCAAUCCUCCUCUUUUUUUUUUGCUGAAGAAGACUGGUUCCGAGCUAACAUCCAUGCCCACCUUCCUCUACUUUAUAUGUAGGGUGCCUGCCACAGCAUGGCGUGCCAAGCAGUGCCAUGUCUGCACCCGGGAUCCCAACCGGCAAACCCCGGGCCGCCGAAGGGAACGUGCACACUUAACCGCUGUGCCACCGGGCGGGCCCAGCUGGUGAAUUUUCAACAACAGGUUCUCGGGGGUGGACGGGAGGGAAGCCCUGAUUUGUAGCAUCCACCGGUCUCUGUGGUGUAAAUAGUCCCGCCUUCGAGCUGCCACUGGACGCAGAGUUGGGAAGGGCCGGGCAGUGACGCGCCAUCAUAUACUAUUUCUACUGUACGGAUACAAUCAACAUAAACAGCCUCGAAAGCGUAGACGAGACUAAACUGUGGGAAAAUAAUUCGGAAAUGGUGAGGUUUGAGUCUUUCCCGCCUUUGUUUUCCAUAUAGUUCAUUUAACGUUAAGUUUUUAUCAUCUAAUGUUUAAUAACAGCCGCGUUUGGCAACCUGUUUACAAGAUUCCUGAAAAUUCCAGGCGGCUCUCCCAAGCUGGUGGGAGCCCGUUCCCGCACAGCCCUGGGUGGGGGCUGUUCAGCCACUUGCAGGACAGACCCAGCCCCGUCUCCCGAGCUUGCAGCUCAGUGAGGCGUCUUGAGUUUCAUUAAACCCAGAUUCCCCCAGACAGAGGGCAGGGGGUGGGCGAUGGAACCGGCCGUCGGUCUGCCCCAGGUCCCCACUUAGGUCUAGGAAUGCCCCUUCCACAGGGUCCAGCCCCGAGGACCAGGCCCCCUAUCCAGAGAGCUCCGUGGGGACAGGCGAGGAAGAGGAACCAGCAGGCUCCAUGCUGUCUGAGGCUUCUCCUAGGAAGAUUUGAGCCUUGGGGUGACGAGGCUGGGGGGCUGGAACCCUCCGGAGUCUCCUUCACUCACACGUCUGGUGGCGGACGCUGGCCGUUGGCUGGGACCUCAGCCAGAGCUGUGGGCUGGAACACCUACGUGGCCUCUCCGUGUGGCGGGGGCUUCCUCGCAGCGUGGCGGUCUCAGCUCUCCCAUGGAAGUUCAAGGUCCCAAAAGCGAGCAUCUCGGAACGAAGCUGGACCACCUUUUCUGACGGCCUCACCUCGUGUGAUGGCUGAGCUCUGUCUCCCCAAAUUUAUAUACUGAACAGCUCACCCCGGCACCUCAGAAGGCAGCCGUAUUGGGAAACAGGGUCUUUACAGAUGCAACUCGUUCAGAGGAGUCGUCCUGGAGUAGCGUGGACCCCUAAUUCAAUAUGACCGACGUCCUUGUGAAAAGGGGAAAUUCGGACGCAGAGACAGACACACACAAAGGAAGAGAGUGGAGGUGAAAGCAAAGAUCAGAAGGAUGCUUCCAAAAGCAUCAAAAGCAUCCUCCCUUCCUACGUGGUCCUCCCUUCUAGAUUCUUCUAGAAUCUUGCCAUGCCUCCAAUCGAGAGGUGGGAUCCUUGCCCCCUCCUCUGGAAUCUGGGUUUCUGGCUUGCUCGUACAAGUGGAAUAACCCAUUGAGUGACUUCUAUGGCGGCUGCUGCCUUGUUCUCUGGGACACCACCUGUUGAGUCCUGAGCCGCCAUGAGGACAUCCCACACCCUGCGGCCGCCAUGUUGUGAGGAAGCCAAGGCCACACAGAGAGGCCACAAGUAGGCGUCCUCCUCAACAGCCCCAGGUGUCCUCCCAGCCAGCUGCCAGACGUGUGUGGGAAAAUGCUUUCAUGUGGUUCUCAUCACCCCAGCCUUUUUUUUUUUUUUUUUGAGGAAGAUUAGCCCUGAGCUAACAUCCAUGCCCAUCUUCCUCUACUUUAUAUGUGGGACUCCUACCACAGCAUGGCUUGACGAGCGGUGCCAUGUCCAUGCCCAGGAUCUGAACCGGCGAACCCUGGGCUGCCGAUGUGGAACGUGCGCACGUGACCUCUGCGCCACGGGGCCGGCCCCUCACCCCAGCCUUUGAGUCAUCCCAGGUGAGGCCCCAGUCAUCAAGGACGGGAAACAAGUCAUCUCCACUGUGCUCUUCCCAAACGUUGGGCCCAGAGAAUCCACGAGUGGAAUAAAAUGGUGGCUUUCAGGCCCGAGGUGCGGGGUCAUUU